rnacentral:rRNA from 1 species
CCUACGGGUGGCAGCAGUGAGGAAUAUUGGUCAAUGGGCGAGAGCCUGAACCAGCCAAGUCGCGUGAGGGAAGACGGUCCUAUGGAUUGUAAACCUCUUUUGCCGGGGAGCAAAAAGCGGUACGUGUACCGCAUCGAGAGUACCCGGAGAAAAAGCAUCGGCUAACUCCGUGCCAGCAGCCGCGGUAAUACGUAGGUGGCAAGCGUUAUCCGGAUUUAUUGGGCGUAAAGGGUACGCAGGCGGUCUUUUAAGUCUGAUGUGAAAGCCUUCGGCUUAACCGGAGUAGUGCAUUGGAAACUGGGGGACUUGAGAGCAGAAGAGGUGAGUGGAACGCCAUGUGUAGCGGUGAAAUGCGUAGAGAUAUGGAAGAACACCAGUGGCGAAAGCGGCGCUCUGGUCUGUAACUGACGCUGAGGUUCGAAAGCGUGGGUAGCAAACAGGAUUAGAUACCCCAGUAGUC